GGGAGGAGGAGUACUAGAGAGACUCACAGUGCACGUGAGAAGAUUCAGAGUUCAGCAUCUGUAUUUAGUCAAAGUGUUGCAAGACAUCGAACUAAAGUUAUACUGGGUUACAGUGUGCGUACAUAUGCAGUCCUGUUAAGAUGUACCAACUCUCUUUUUCUGUACGGUGGACAAAGCCAACGUAACCCUCUCGUGCCUGCAAGCCUUACAGCAUCAGCUUCCUGUCCGGGUGCUCAGAUCGGCCCGUCCUCUGAUGUCUCGCUUCCAAGUGUUUGCUUUGUACUCGGUCAAAGUGUUGGAGCAGAUCACUGUAGUCUAUAUGAGGCUGAGCUGGUCGUUUCUCUUUAACAGAUGAUGCAUCAUCACUAGGAGGGGAAGAUUUGGUCUGUGAUUCUUCAUCAUCUUCAUCAUCCUCAGGCGUCACAAGCUUCAUCAAGCUAUGAUUACAUGCACUGGCGACCUCUUUUGUACCUGGCAUAUAAAGGAAAAUAUCACAUUUAAUAUAUAUAAUUGAACCAUUUUAGCCUCAUUGUGUAAAUAUCAGGUAUAUAACAUGAAUCAUACUCUUUUUCCGAUCAUCAUAGGAAAGGCAGGGCAACACGGCUGUCAGUAUUCCAGAGGAAUAAGGCAAAACUACUCUUCCUGCAAGCUGGAUAAAUUCUCUCAUCCAUGUCAUAGCCGUCAACUGAAUGAGAUCAUUAGCUGGAAAAAGUCAGAAUUAAAAACAAAUAUCGGUAAAGGUUCCAGUUAGCAUAAACGUGAUAACAUUUGACUUACUGGAUUUUGAUUCAUCAGACACUUGACAGUGAAUAACUAAGAUGUUGGCCAUUUCUGCAAACUUGACACUGGAUGGAUUCUUCUUAAUUUCUUUUAGGAAUUCCCCCAAAACCACCUCGCACCUAAUGAACAGCCUUUGUUAAUAGUUUAUUAAACAAAAAAAGGAAUAAACACAGAAAAGGGGGAAGAUGCAGAGAUGAUUGGAAAUAUGAGACAUACAUUCGCCGGAUCUCUUUGCUGCUGUCUCCAAGGAUCUGAAAGAGUCCAUCUAAAAUUUCUGGCAAAUAGUCCAAAAGGUUGAUAUCGGGAACCGACUCCAACACAUGAAUCUGAAUCAAACAAACAUCACAUUAAGUUGAAUGUGUUCUUAAAAAUGACUGCGAUUAUGCCAGGACGUGUUAGGUGCUCAAUUUACCCAUGAGAUAAUGAAUUGGCGGGCAUAUUGGUUGUUCGAGUAAAUCCUUUCACGCAACAGUGGGACAAAAGCUACUAGGUCAAAUUUGUUGCUUUCUGUUACAAUGUCCUGAAAAUAAAAGAAAGACAAGCAAAUGCUAA